GACGAACGCUGGCGGCGUGCUUAACACAUGCAAGUCGAACGGAAAGGCCCUGCUUUUGUGGGGUGCUCGAGUGGCGAACGGGUGAGUAACACGUGAGUAACCUGCCCUUGACUUUGGGAUAACUUCAGGAAACUGGGGCUAAUAUCGGAUAGGAGCUCCUGCUGCAUGGUGGGGGUUGGAAAGUUUCGGCGGUUGGGGCUGGACUCGCGGCUUAUCAGCUUGUUGGUGGGGUAGUGGCUUACCAAGGCUUUGACGGGUAGCCGGCCUGAGAGGGUGACCGGCCACAUUGGGACUGAGAUACGGCCCAGACUCCUACGGGAGGCAGCAGUGGGGAAUAUUGCACAAUGGGCGGAAGCCUGAUGCAGCAACGCCGCGUGCGGGAUGACGGCCUUCGGGUUGUAAACCGCUUUCGCCUGUGACGAAGCGUGAGUGACGGUAAUGGGUAAAGAAGCACCGGCUAACUACGUG
rnacentral:rRNA from 1 species